rnacentral:misc_RNA from 1 species
AAGUCGUAACAAGGUUUCCGUAGGUGAACCUGCGGAAGGAUCAUUAUUGAAUUAUGUUUUCUGGAUGGGUUGUAGCUGGUCCUUUGGGGCAUGUGCACGCUUGUCUGGACUUCAUUUUCAUCCACCUGUGCACCUAUUGUAGUCUUUGUCGGGAGCUAUUGAGGAAGUGGUCAGCCUAUCAGCAACUGCUGGAUGUGAGGACUUGCAGUGCGACAAGCAAUGCUGUCCUUUACUUGGCCAUGGAAUCUUUUACCGUCAGAGUCUAUGUCAUUCAUUAUACCCUGUAAAAUGUCAUUGAAUGUCUAUACAUGGGCUUUUGCCUAUGAAAAUUGUAAUACAACUUUCAGCAACGGAUCUCUUGGCUCUC